UGGCUGAGUGUCUCUGUCCUAGGAACGUACUAGCUUGCUAGUACCAACGUCUAAUAACUUUUGCUGAAAUGUCUCGAAAAGCAAUGAAAGUCGUUGUUGAAUUACAGCUCAAGGCGGUAUCGUGUCCUGGGGUUCAUUUGACAGCCAAGGAUGACGUCUACGUCAGUGUGUGCUUCUUGAGCCAGUACUACAAGUCCUUGUGUCUUCCGCCUGUAUUCCCUCUACUGUUCCGAGAGCAGAUGAUUUUUGAAAAGGUAUUCCGCUAUGCUGUUGACCCGGGAGAUGUAGCAGAGAUGCUGGAAUGUGAAACCGUCAGAGUUGAAUUGGUACAGCUGAUCCCCCCAGUGGGAGAGGCCCUGGCCUGCUUCGAGGAGGACACCAGGCGCUUCCUGUUCCCAGAGCCCAGACUGGUUCCCGCCUCCUCUGGAGUGGACAGAGAGGUGCUCAUGACGCGCUCUAAGAGCUUCCCUGGCAUUGCUCCAAGGUUAGAGUUCUCCACUAGAACAACUAUCGGCGAGUGCUCCGCGAACACCGAGGUUGACAGCGCCCAUCUCCGCUCUCCAAUGAGGACAGGGGUGCCAAAAAAACACCCUAAAAGGUCCCGAAAAGGUCAUAUGGGAGUUUGGUCCAGUGCUCGACGGGCAUCUCUGAUACCCAGGUCACGCUCCCUCUCCCCAUAUAAAGCCAGCCAGGUGGAUGGUUGUCAUGACAACGUGGGGCGGCUGGCACAGCUCUCCCUGGGUUCCUGCUGGGAUUUAGACAAGGAGUUAUCACCCUGCCACAUGAGGGAGUCCCGUCUUGGGUCGGCCCACUCCCCUGACCCCUCCCCGGUCAUGGCCAGACGCGCCCUGACCAACGGCUUAGCCCCUGGCCUCCCGCGCUCCCCCUCCUCUGACACAGACGAUCUCCUGGACUUCCCACCGGGACCAAACCGAAGAAGUUCCCUGGCUGAUGGGGAGGGAUCGUCCCCGGAACCUACACUCAGCCCUUACGUGCUUUGUCGCUCCUACGGAGAAAGCUCGACCCAAAACGGGUUUGUUCCUCGAAGGGCUGAUGUCUUUGACAAAUGUUUUUCAUCUCGCUUGGUUUUUAUCGUGGGCAGGUUUUUCCUGGCAGCAGUUGAGCCUGACCCUACCCUGAUAUUUAUCUGUCCUCCUUCGGACGUUGGACAGGUCACGCCCCAGCCCCCAGGUGACAUGGGAGGACGUUCAGCAGCGUGUCCGAGGACUCCUUACGUCCCCCAGAGCGAUGCAUCGGCUGGCCCAUGGGGCCACAGACUCUGAGAUAGAUGAGGUUUUAGCCCGUAGGUCCAUCUCCCCUCAGCGAGGUCCACUCUAGAGGAGCGGGGAACGCCCUGGGAAGGUAACCCGCUUUUACAAAACAUCUUGAAGCUUUAUCUUCUAUCCAACCAGUGAAGAAUUGAAAGUGUCUAUUAAUUUGUACAUUAAUUUAAUUCAAUAAUAAUGCAAUUGUUUACUGCGUGUGUAUGUUGCAGUUAAAUGAAAUUAAGGUGGGCUAUUGAUAGAUUAAAGUGAGUUCAGAAGAAUUUGUAAUUAUAUUAAGACUAAUGUUCUAUAUGUUUAUGCAUUGUAUUAUUAUUUACUUAACACACAAACCAUACAAAUGUUUGUCAUUAAGCCUAGUUAUGUUGUGUGGACAUUGUUAUACAGCUUACUACAACAAAACUCAUUACACAGCCUGUGUCUACUAGACAUUUAAAUCUAUUAUCUAUGGUACAUUCACAUUAUACUCUUACUCCAGGUCAGAGUGAUCAGAAGAGUGCAACCUUCACAACAUGCCAGACAUUAGUUCACGGCAGACUGGAUGUCAUGGACAUGGCUAAAAAACAAUAACUGCUCUACUCAGUGUAUUUCUAUCUGAACAUGAUGCAUUGUUGCACCUUGCUGAAUGAACCCAUGGCCACUUUUCAUCAGACAUACUGUCUUCGUAGAGUCCCCAGGUGCUCUAUACAAAAGGCUAUUUCAGGGGAAUUAUGGGUAGCACAGUGCUGCGUCGUGUCCUCGCUCAGGGGUAAUAGCCUUCUACAGUAGGUCAUUAUAUAUGACUACUGUGAUUGGUCGGGUGCCUCAGGAACAUUGUGAUCUAUCUCUACUUCUGUCCCUAUAACCUGUGAUAGUUCCAGAACUGGACUGGAUGAUCUUAAAGGCCUGGCUGUGGAAAAAUACUGCGACAGCAGGAUUCCAAAUGGUUAGCGAAGGCAUUCAUUUAGAUAAUUAAGAGGGUGUACUUUACAGUAGCCGUUCUCAUUACUAAAGUGAAGUAUGUACUUCCCAUUUUCAGGUGCUGGACUCAUUUAUUCUUUUUGCCGUAUAAGUAAUUUCCACAACUCUGUAAUUCUCAAUUCUCAAUCAUUUCCAGAACAACUCAAAAGAACAAAAGCCCAUUUUGUAUUUGUCUUUAUUAGCUUGCAGUUGGAUACAUCUAGAAUGUUGAUUUGUAUGCUGAUGUGAUUGGUGGGCUGGGUACACUCUAGCCAUUGGUUGUUGUUGAUAUUGUCAUAAUGUGACCCUGAAAUGUACAGAAGAACCAGGUUCACCGACUUCAUUUUGAAUCGUAUCAAUCAGCUGUUAUUUCACAUUGCCCCUGAUUUGCUUUCCCCUGCUGAAAUGUCUUGCUCACCUUCAGAAAUUCUAUUUAAUAAAAUUGUCUUGGGGCCCAAAUUUAGCCUACAUGCUAAUGUUCUGGAACAAAAACAUGUAGUAGAGGUGGAUUGCAAUACUGAGUAUCAGUUUUUAAUCAUCCCAGGAUGAAAAACAUAAAAUACUUUAGAUGGGGAUUAUCAAAAUAUUUAAGAAUUUUUAUGUUCAAAUGACCUGAAGGCUCAGAAGAAUCUCUAAAGUGCAUAAAAAUUAUGAAUUUGUUGUACCAAGCAAUUAUUACAUAACACCUUUUUAUAAAGUGUUUAGAACUCAUUAUUCUUAGAGGGCUUUGUACCAAAUAUGUAUACUACUAAGGUUUCUUGUUUGAUUUUGGAAUUUUACUAACUGUGUUGAACAUAAUAACUUGAUUCUACAGCCAGAUUUUCUACAACAUUGCCUCAAAGGCUCCUCAAUUCUUUAUUGUUUCUCAUACACUGUAAAAGUUCACUUUAAAAGUCCAUCUGAAAUCCAGAAGUCAUCCACAAGUAAUUCACGUAGCGGCCCUUUACAGGGUUAAACCGUUAUCUCUAGCAAUGCAUUAUGAAAAUAUUUCCAAAUAUAUCACAGUAAUCGGCUACGGCGCAAUUAUUGUCACCUUGUUAUUGUGCCCUUCAACUCUAAAGGCCAUUGGUCACUUGAAAAAGGACAUACAGCAAGUCUAUGUUCAUUAAAUGUUUUCCACUGUAUUCCUUUGACAUAUUGUUUCAUGCAAUUAAAAUAAUUAACAAAGA